AUGAACGCUAGCUACAGGCUUAACACAUGCAAGUCGAGGGGCAGCAUUUUAGUUUGCUUGCAAACUGAAGAUGGCGACCGGCGCACGGGUGAGUAACACGUAUCCAACCUGCCGAUAACUCCGGGAUAGCCUUUCGAAAGAAAGAUUAAUACCGGAUAGUAUACGAAUAUCGCAUGAUAUUUUUAUUAAAGAAUUUCGGUUAUCGAUGGGGAUGCGUUCCAUUAGUUUGUUGGCGGGGUAACGGCCCACCAAGACUACGAUGGAUAGGGGUUCUGAGAGGAAGGUCCCCCACAUUGGAACUGAGACACGGUCCAAACUCCUACGGGAGGCAGCAGUGAGGAAUAUUGGUCAAUGGGCGCGAGCCUGAACCAGCCAAGUAGCGUGAAGGAUGAAGGCUCUAUGGGUCGUAAACUUCUUUUAUAUGGGAAUAAAGUUUUCCACGUGUGGAAUUUUGUAUGUACCAUAUGAAUAAGGAUCGGCUAACUCCGUGCCAGCAGCCGCGGUAAUACGGAGGAUCCGAGCGUUAUCCGGAUUUAUUGGGUUUAAAGGGAGCGUAGGUGGAUUGUUAAGUCAGUUGUGAAAGUUUGCGGCUCAACCGUAAAAUUGCAGUUGAAACUGGCAGUCUUGAGUACAGUAGAGGUGGGCGGAAUUCGUGGUGUAGCGGUGAAAUGCUUAGAUAUCACGAAGAACUCCGAUUGCGAAGGCAGCUCACUAGACUGUCACUGACACUGAUGCUCGAAAGUGUGGGUAUCAAACAGGAUUAGAUACCCUGGUAGUCCACACAGUAAACGAUGAAUACUCGCUGUUUGCGAUAUACAGUAAGCGGCCAAGCGAAAGCAUUAAGUAUUCCACCUGGGGAGUACGCCGGCAACGGUGAAACUCAAAGGAAUUGACGGGGGCCCGCACAAGCGGAGGAACAUGUGGUUUAAUUCGAUGAUACGCGAGGAACCUUACCCGGGCUUAAAUUGCAACAGAAUAUAUUGGAAACAGUAUAGCCGUAAGGCUGUUGUGAAGGUGCUGCAUGGUUGUCGUCAGCUCGUGCCGUGAGGUGUCGGCUUAAGUGCCAUAACGAGCGCAACCCUUAUCUUUAGUUACUAACAGGUCAUGCUGAGGACUCUAGAGAGACUGCCGUCGUAAGAUGUGAGGAAGGUGGGGAUGACGUCAAAUCAGCACGGCCCUUACGUCCGGGGCUACACACGUGUUACAAUGGGGGGUACAGAAGGCGGCUACCUGGUGACAGGAUGCUAAUCCCAAAAACCUCUCUCAGUUCGGAUCGAAGUCUGCAACCCGACUUCGUGAAGCUGGAUUCGCUAGUAAUCGCGCAUCAGCCAUGGCGCGGUGAAUACGUUCCCGGGCCUUGUACACACCGCCCGUCAAGCCAUGAAAGCCGGGGGUACCUGAAGUGCGUAACCGCAAGGAGCGCCCUAGGGUAAAACUGGUGAUUGGGGCU
rnacentral:rRNA from 1 species